rnacentral:SRP_RNA from 1 species
CCGUGCUAAGCGGGGAGGUAGCGGUGCCCUGUACUCGCAAUCCGCUAUAGCGAGGCCGAAUUCCCAUCCGAGGUAUGACGACUGUAUGGUCUGCCUUAGUGGAUUGGUGUCGACGUUUAGGUCCUGCGCAACAGGAACCCAUGAACCCUGUCAGGUCCGGAAGGAAGCAGCAGUAAGUGGUCAUUCUUGUGUGCCGCAGGGAAGCCUAAGCUGAGCCAUGAAGCUAAGAAGCGCGUAUGGACGCCGUAUCGAAGCUGGGUGCACGG